rnacentral:rRNA from 1 species
AAACUAACAUUCCAACGGCGUAAAGUGUGGUAACAUGCUAUCCAAGUAACUAAGAUUAAAAAGCGUCUAAGUCGUCACAAGCCCAAGACGCACACUAAGGCCACUAUUCAAAGAAAAUCUUAGACUAACGAUCGAUUGAAGCCACGAAAGCCAGGGCCCAAACUGGGAUUAGAUACCCCACUAUGCCUGGCCCUAAAUCUUGGUGCUCGAUCUAACCGGAGCAUCCGCCUGAGAACUACGAGCACAAACGCUUAAAACUCUAAGGACUUGGCGGUGCUCCAAACCCACCUAGAGGAGCCUGUUCUGUAAUCGAUGAUCCACGAUAUACCUUACCAUUCCUUGCACGAAACAGCCUAUAUACCGCCGUCUCCAGCCCACCCACCAUGAAGGACCAACAGU